rnacentral:lncRNA from 1 species
GGCCUGAGCCAUCCUCUGCCAGCAACAUUAGGGUCACUGUGUGGGCAGGGACAGCUACGCUGAGAGAGGCUUUCAGGGCCUCAUGUGGCAGCUGCUGGGACCACAAAAAAAGGCUGGGACUUGGGCUGCCUGUAGCAGGGGCUUGGGGAGACAGAGGUGUAGUAUCAGGACAAAGGACUAAGGGGACAUCUGGCUGAGGUUGUAAAGGUGACAAGAUGUAUUCCAAGGGCCCCAUAUUUCCUGUUGCAGGCUUAGAAGCAGCAUGGCCAUUCCCUUCCAGUAUUUGCUACAACUCCAUCACUUUAUUCGUCAGCUGGAGGAGCAGCAUCGAAAGUCUCCACCCUCAAGGAGGAGGGGGCACGCGUGGAUGCUGUUGCUAUUACAGCCCCGAUGCAGCCACAUAAAUAUUUUGUCUCACUAACAGACCCCAAGACAGGGGUUGUUGGUGGGGACGGUGGAAUGGCCCCCAGACUCCAAGGCAAAGUGAGGAAUCCCUAACCAUUUCAAGUCCAGCUCUGGUGGCAAGCGUUGCUCCCUGUUGCCACGGGAUGGCAGCAUCCACCUGCCAAGCUCCCAGGCUGUUCUGCUUGCUCCCAGCCACCUGGCCCAGCUCAGCUCCCUGCCUACCAAGUUGUGCGACGUCCAGAGUUCUUGGUUUCAGGGGACAGUGGUGUGGGACUGCAACUACCGUUUGACAUCUGUGCCUUAGUUCCCCUGCUUGUGAUGUCCAAAUUCUCCUUUCUAAAGAGUCCUCCAACUCAAAACGAUCUGCACAGCUGCACCUGCCGGCUUCUGGACCUGGGGUUCAGGAGCGACUCUCUCUCUCUCCCGGGUCGGGUCGUGGCAAAAGUUCAGAGGAUUUGGAGAGAUUAAGAGGGGAUUAGGGGCAGGGACGGUAGCUUUUGAGCUCGAGGUUCCGGGCUGAGGACAGCGCCCCCUCAUACCCCUCCUCAUUUCCACACCAGGCAAUUGGGUGUUGGCCAGUUUAAAGACGAGCGCCCUCCGAGUUCAUCCCCUUGUCAUAAGGGCGCCAUUUGAUGCUUCUGUCCG